GAUGAACGCUAGCUAUAGGCUUAACACAUGCAAGUCGAGGGGAAACGGCAUUAUGUGCUUGCACAUUUUGGACGUCGACCGGCGCACGGGUGAGUAUCGCGUAUCCAACCUGCCCUUUACUUGGGGAUACCCCGUUGAAAGACGGCCUAAUACCCGAUGUAAUUCAUUGAUGGCAUCAGAUAUGAAUAAAAGAUUUAUCGGUAAAGGAUGGGGAUGCGUCUGAUUAGCUUGUUGGUGAGGUAACGGCUCACCAAGGCGACGAUCAGUAGGGGUUCUGAGAGGAAGGUCCCCCACAUUGGAACUGAGACACGGGCCAAACUCCUACGGGAGGCAGCAGUGAGGAAUAUUGGUCAAUGGGCGCAAGCCUGAACCAGCCAAGUAGCGUGCAGGAAGACGGCCCUAUGGGUUGUAAACUGCUUUUAUACGAGAAUAAUUUGAUGCACGUGUGCGUUAUUGCAUGUAUCGUAUGAAUAAGGACCGGCUAAUUCCGUG
rnacentral:rRNA from 1 species